CCCAUGUAGUCCCCUCCGGUACAACCCCUGUAAUGUCUGUUUGGAAACCCCUUGCAUGGGGAAUUGCAUAAAUACUGUGACCUGUGAUUAAAACCUCAGUUGACUCCCAGCCUAUGUGUCGUCUAGUUCUUGGGAAGGAAGGGUUACUGCAGUGCUGUUUGGAUUAUUUUAUGCUGAUUCCCUGGAUUAUCCUUUGUUGUUCCUGUUACCCAGCGGAGAUAUCGUGGAUCAUACUGCCUCUCCGCUACAAUUGGU